CCUACGGGCGGCAGCAGUGAGGAAUAUUGGUCAAUGGGCGAAAGCCUGAACCAGCCAAGUAGCGUGCAGGAUGACGGCCCUACGGGUUGUAAACUGCUUUUAUACGGGAAUAAAGUGCUUUACGUGUCGGAUUUUGCAUGUACCAUAUGAAUAAGGAUCGGCUAACUCCGUGCCAGCAGCCGCGGUAAUACGGAGGGUCCGGGCGUUAUCCGGAUUUAUUGGGUUUAACGGGUGCGUAGGCAGCAUGUCAAGUGAGCUGUGAAAGUUUGUGGCUCAACCCUAGAAGUGCCGUUGAAACUGGGAGGCUUGAGUAUGGGGAAGGCAGGCGGAAUUCGUGGUGUAGCGGUGAAAUGCUUAGAUAUCACGAAGAACCCCGAGUGCGAAGGCAGCCUGCU
rnacentral:rRNA from 1 species